rnacentral:lncRNA from 1 species
ACUUAAUGGUGAUGAUUGCAAGAACAAGAAGAAGCUACCAAUCAUCCUUCACUUUCAUGGGGGUGGUUUUUGCGUUAGCCAAGCUGAUUGGUACAUGUACUAUCACGUUUACACGAAGCUUGCAAAAUCUGUCCCGGCUAUCUGUGUCUCCGUCUAUCUCCGGCGGGCCCCGGAGCACCGCCUCCCGGCCGCUUUCGACGAUGGUUUCGAAGCCCUCCUUUGGCUCCGGUCACUAUCACUGGCUCAGGCUCAGGCUCGGGAGAAUAAUUGGCUGACUGAACAUGUGGAUUUUCAACGCGUCUUCCUCAUUGGAGACAGCUCCGGAGGGAACGUAGUGCAUGAAGUGGCGGCACGUGCAGGUGACGCGGACUUGAGCCCGUUGCGUGUGGCCGGAGCGAUUCCGAUUCAUCCGGGUUUCCUCCGGCAGGAAAGGAGCAAGUCGGAGUUGGAAAACCCGCAGUCACCUCUUCUGACUCUGGACAUGGUGGACAAGUUCUUGAGCUUUGCCCUGCCGUUGAACAGCGACAAGGGGCAUCCGUACACCUGUCCAAUGGGGCCGGCUGCGUCGCCGAUCGACGGUCUGAAGCUGCCUCCGUUUCUGCUGUGCGUGGCGGGUAAUGACUUGAUUAAGGACACUGAGAUGGAAUAUUAUGAAGCCAUGAAAAAGGCUGGAAAGGAUGUGGAGUUGUUGGUGAAUCCUGGAAUGGGUCACAGUUUUUAUCUCGACAAGAUUGCAGUCGAUAUGGACCCAAACACUGCUGCUCAAA